AUGGAGUGCAGGUGGGUUGGAGCACAGAUGAAGCCCCGGUCCAACCUGGGCAUUCCUGCAGCCAUGUGCAGUGACCCUUGUGUAUGUGAGUACCUGUCAUGUGCCCACGUAUCCUGGUGGCACAAAAGGUACUUGACGUAGAUUGUCAGGACCAAGACACAGAACGUUCUUGGGGCACACCACAAUAAUUCCCCCACUAGCAUUCACCUUAAGAUGAAAGACUAGUAGAUGUGGAUUCCCCAGAUUUAUCUCAUUUCAUGAUGUCUCCAGAAUUGCGUGUUGUGCCACCAUCACACUUCACACUCUCAGUAAGGAGCUCUCAGUUGUCUCACCUGUUAUUGCUCCUCUUUAUUGUAAACGAUGUCCUAUAAAGAAGAUAUAUGUCUACAACUGAGCUUUGAAGGAGGACCAUGGAGCCAGUUCCUUUGAAAGGGAAUGAAGUCAAGCAGUAAAUUUGCUGGUCACUCUUUUCAUAUGGACCGCAUCUCAGCCAGCAGUUGGUCUUUGAUGUUGUAACAAUGGCACUGGGACCUGAGGCAGAAGAGCACCCCCAUAAUACUGAAACUAGCCUGCAUCCAUUCCAAUUUGGAGAACAAUCUGUGGGAUAGUACACACAUCAGGGAGCCCAGAGAGUGAACUCCAG
rnacentral:lncRNA from 1 species